UACGUAGGGGGCAAGCGUUGUCCGGAUUUAUUGGGCGUAAAGAGCGUGUAGGCGGCCAUACAGGUCUGUUGUGAAAACUGGAGGCUUAACCUCCAGACGUCGAUGGAAACCGUAUGGCUAGAGUCCGGAAGAGGAGAGUGGAAUUCCUGGUGUAGCGGUGAAAUGCGCAGAUAUCAGGAAGAACACCCGUGGCGAAGGCGGCUCUCUGGGACGGUACUGACGCUGAGACGCGAAAGCGUGGGGAGCGAACAGG
rnacentral:rRNA from 1 species